rnacentral:rRNA from 1 species
CCUACGGGAGGCAGCAGUGAGGAAUAUUGGUCAAUGGGCGGAAGCCUGAACCAGCCAAGUAGCGUGCAGGAUGACGGCCCUACGGGUUGUAAACUGCUUUUAUACGGGAAUAACGCGCGUUACGUGUAGUGCUUUGCAUGUACCGCAUGAAUAAGGACCGGCUAAUUCCGUGCCAGCAGCCGCGGUAAUACGGAAGGUCCGGGCGUUAUCCGGAUUUAUUGGGUUUAAAGGGAGCGUAGGCCGCAUGUUAAGCGUGCCGUGAAAUGCCCGGGCUCAACCCGGGCCUUGCGGCGCGAACUGGCGUGCUGGAGUGCGCGGAAGGCAGGCGGAAUUCGUGGUGUAGCGGUGAAAUGCUUAGAUAUGACGAAGAACUCCGAUUGCGAAGGCAGCAUGCGGCAGCGGAACUGACGCUGAUGCUUGAAGGCGCGGGUAUCGAACAGGAUUAGAUACCCGAGUAGUC